rnacentral:rRNA from 1 species
GGGCCCGCACAAGCGGUGGAGCAUGUGGUUUAAUUCGAUGAUACGCGAGGAACCUUACCAGGGCUUAAAUGUAGUCUGACAGGGGUGGAAACACCCCCUCCUUCGGGCAGAUUACAAGGUGCUGCAUGGUUGUCGUCAGCUCGUGCCGUGAGGUGUCAGGUUAAGUCCUAUAACGAGCGCAACCCCUGCCGUUAGUUGCCAGCAUGUAAUGAUGGGAACUCUAACGGGACUGCCGGUGCAAACCGCGAGGAAGGUGGGGAUGACGUCAAAUCAUCACGGCCCUUACGUCCUGGCUACACACGUGCUAGCAAUGCUACGGACAAACGGGCUGCAAAGUUCAGCGAGGACAAGCA